GACGUAGGGCGCAAGCGUUGUCCGGAUUUAUUGGGCGUAAAGAGCUCGUAGGCGGCUUGUUGCGUCGUCCGUGAAAACCUGUGGCUCAACUACAGGCUUGCGGUCGAUACGGGCGGGCUGGAGUUCGGUAGGGGAGACUGGAAUUCCUGGUGUAGCGGUGAAAUGCGCAGAUAUCAGGAGGAACACCGGUGGCGAAGGCGGGUAGCUGGGCCAACACUGACGCUGAUUCACGAAAGCUAGGGGAGCAAACGGG
rnacentral:rRNA from 1 species